rnacentral:tRNA from 1 species
GCCGAGGUAGCCUAGUCGGUCAUGGCACGUGUCUGAAAAACACGGGAUACAGGUUCGAUUCCUGUCCUCGGCA